rnacentral:rRNA from 1 species
GACGAACGCUGGCGGCGUGCUUAACACAUGCAAGUCGAACGGAAAGGCCCUGCUUUUGUGGGGUGCUCGAGUGGCGAACGGGUGAGUAACACGUGAGUAACCUGCCCUUGACUUUGGGAUAACUUCAGGAAACUGGGGCUAAUACCGGAUAGGAGCUCCUGCUGCAUGGUGGGGGUUGGAAAGUUUCGGCGGUUGGGGAUGGACUCGCGGCUUAUCAGCUUGUUGGUGGGGUAGUGGCUUACCAAGGCUUUGACGGGUAGCCGGCCUGAGAGGGUGACCGGCCACAAUGGGACUGAGAGACGGGCCCGAAUUCUACGGGAGGCAGCAGUGGGGAAUAUUGCACAAUGGGCGGAAGCCUGAUGCAGCAACGCCGCGUGCGGGAUGACGGCCUUCGGGUUGUAAACCGCUUUCGCCUGUGACGAAGCGUGAGUGACGGUAAUGGGUAAAGAAGCACCGGCUAACUACGUG